UACCAUAGAAGACAAGUUUGGACUGCG
rnacentral:piRNA from 1 species